UGGUGGUUAAACCACUAGAACUCCGCCCCAAAGGAUGAUGCCCGUGGAUGCGGGAUGGGACGAAGGGGAGGACCACCA
rnacentral:ncRNA from 1 species